UCCGAAUUGGUGUAGGGGUUAACAUUGCCGCCUCUCAGUGUAUUACGUAAGCUACUGGCUUCAGUAAUUAGGUUCGCGGCAGCCCGGGGUUCGAUUCCCCGAUUCGGAA